GCGUGAGGGAUGGANGGCCUAUGGGUUGUAAACCGCUUUUGAUAGGGAAGAAGCACUGACGGUACCUAUCGAAUCAGCAUCGGCUAACUCCGUGCCAGCAGCCGCGGUAAUACGGAGGAUGCAAGCGUUAUCCGGAAUUAUUGGGCGUAAAGCGUCCGUAGGUGGUUGUUCAAGUCUGGUGUUAAAGCGUGCGGCUUAACCGCAUACCAGCGGGGGAAACUGGGCGACUAGAGUGCGGUAGGGGUCAGGGGAAUUCCCGGUGUAGCGGUGAAAUGCGUAGAUAUUGGGAAGAACACCGGUGGCGAAAGCGCCUGACUGGACCUGCACUGACACUGAGGGACGAAAGCUAGGGGAGCGAAAGGGAUUA
rnacentral:rRNA from 1 species